CCUCCGGCAGGCCGGUCUGGGCCUCCUGCUCCCGGCCCAGACUCCUCUGCCAGCCGCCCUUAAGCUCCAGGAGACGCACUGGGCCAUCUGCAGCGGGCAGGAGGGUGCCAUCGCGGGGACUCACUCACCUCUCAGCACUCCAGCGACACCCUGAUCGCGCAUGCUUGGGCCUUCUGAAAUUCUGGAACGGCUGCAAAGGAUUCCACGUUCAUGGUGUCCAUAGCAUGACCCUGGAUCAGCUAACCGCUCUGAGGGACCGAGAGCGCUUUGUCCUGGCCGACCCAGCUACCCAGAACUUCAGAAUCUGCGAGAGGGACCCGGCCUGCCAAGUGGAAACACCGUCUGGACGGGACACACAUGAGCGAUGGAACAUAACUGGAGCACAAGGCUGCAGCGAGACAGAAGCUUACAGUACAUAAGGAUGUGGAAGGCAAGGCAUGAACCUGGCAGAGAGAAGCUUUCAUCCAUCAUCCCCGUACAGGGUGAGCCUGGAGACUGGAGCCUGGAGCCUGACCCCAGAC